GAUGAACGCUGGCGGCGUGCCUAAUACAUGCAAGUCGAGCGAACGGACGAGAAGCUUGCUUCUCUGAUGUUUGCGGCGGACGGGUGAGUAAUACGUGGAUAACCUACCUAUAUGACUGGGAUAACUUCGGGAUACCGUAGCUAAUACCGGAUUAUAUUUUGAACCGCAUGGUUCCAAAGUGAAAGACGGUCUUGCUGUCACUUAUACAUGGAUCCGCGCUGCAUUAGCUAGUUGGUAAGGUAACGGCUUACCAAGGCAACGGUGCGUAGCCGACCUGAGAGGGUGAUUGGCCACACUGUGACCAGGACACGGUGCAGACGUCAGCGGGUGGCACAAGUACGCAAUAUUCCGCAAUUGGCUAAAGCCUGACGGGGCAACGCCGCGUGACUGAACACGGUCUUCGGAUCGUAAAACUCUGUUAUUAGGGAAGACCAUAUGUGUAAGUAACUGUGCACUUCUUGACGGUACCUAAUCAGCAAACCACGGCUAACUACGUG
rnacentral:rRNA from 1 species